rnacentral:rRNA from 1 species
AGCUCCAAUAGCGUAUAUUAAAGUUGUUGCGGUAAAAAAGCUCGUAGUUGGAUUUCUGUUGAGGGCGUCCGGUCCACACUACGUGUGCGCAUCUGGGUCGGCCUCGGCAUCCUUCCGGAAGACGGCUUCGCGCUUUGUUGCGUGAAACGGAGUUCGGAACUUUUACUUUGAGGAAAUUAGAGUGUUCACGGCAGGCUAUCGCCAGAAUACAUUAGCAUGGAAUAAUACUAUAGGAUCUCGAUUCUAUUUUGUUGGUUUCUAGAAUUGGGAUAAUGAUUAAUAGGGACAAUUGGGGGCAUUCGUAUCGACACGUCAGAGGUGGAAUUCUUGGAUUGUGUUGCGACGAACUACUGCGAAAGCAUUUGCCAAGGAUGUUUUCA